AGAGAGAGAAUAGUGUUGGUGGUGGUGGUGGUGAGAGGUGUACAGGGAAAGAAUAGUGGUGGUGGUGUUGGUGGUAUGACAGGAGUUGAGGGAGUGUUUCUGGGUGUCAGUGUUGCGCUGUGCCAGAGAAGGUCACAUUACCCUGACGCUGGUAGAGCUGGGUUUUAAAUAGAGGGAGCCAUUCCUCCACCCUGCUCCCAGUGCACUAUUUUAGGGACAUGCUGAAGAGACACGGGGUGGGAAGGCGCUAAGUGUGGAUCCACUGCUGCCCCAAAAUGUGCAAGCAGACUGCUGAUCUACCUUUAAACCCCAACAUUUGAUGACGGCAGGAAAGCAAGCAAUAUAUGCCGCCCUCCGUCUCUCGAUUGCUCUCUAAAGCAUAUGGACAGUAGUUGCCGGCCCGCUCGCCCGCACUUGGCCCUGUCACUCAUGCCCUGAGUCCCCCGCCCCCGUCUCGUCUUACCCCCGAGUUGGUCUCUCAGUCCGUCUGCGCACCAUUAGUGAGCUCUGUGUUGCAGACGCUGCCUAGCCUGCUGCGCCUCUCCUCUUUGGUCUUCACACGCUAAGUCACCGCAGAGUGGGAACAUCGUCAUCAUCAUCUCUUUUUUGGGCUUUUUUUUUUAAACUCACCCGCGUGCGGUGCAUUUUGCGAAACCUACCUGAAUCC